rnacentral:lncRNA from 1 species
GUCUCAUAUUCUGGCUAGCAAACCAGUUCUUAUACUAAGAGCAUAUUUGUUUGGGUGGAAGUGGGAUCAAAGUGGAGAGUAGCGAAAUCGUUUUCAUCAUAAAUGAUCAUUUUCGUUGUUUGGUUCGCCAUAAAAAAGUUACGAUCGAAACUCGAGUUAACGUCAAAUGGCGUAAUUGACUUCAGCCUAUCAUGGGCCGAAGUCAAUUACGGUGAAGAGAGGUGAAGAAAAAAUAAUAAAAUAAUAUAAUAGGUAAAGAUAAUUAUAUUUAAAUAUAUUUAAUUAUAUUACUAAUUACUCUUUUAUUCUGUUGGUAUAUUUAAAAUAUGAUAAAAAUUGAUUAAUUAAAUUUUAAUAUUUUUUAUUUAGUUUGUACAAUUAAAAUAUAAUAAAAAUUAAUUAAUUAAGUAUUAAUAUUUUUUACUGUAUAAUUUUAUUAUUAUAUUACUAUAAUUUUUGUAUAAAAAAUAAUUUAGUUGUUUUAAAUUAAAUUUUAAUUAUAUAAAAAUAUAAUUAUAUUAUCUUUAUUUAUUAAAUAUUUAUUAUUAUAUAUAAAUUAUAGCUUUACAUCAUACAUUUUUUAGAAAACAAACAGCAUAACUAAUAAAACUUCACUUUCAUAACUACGAAACAAACAGCAGGAAAGUAGUUUUCACCGACAUCCACUUCAACAAAAAGUCCACUUCAACCUAAAGUCCAAUUUCAUUAAAACAACAGGAAAGAAGUAGUUUUCACCGAAAUCCACUUCAACAAAAAGUCCACUUCAACCUAAAGUCCAAUUUCAUUAAAACAAACAUACCCGAAACGUAAUAACUCGACUCACUAGUACUAAUAAUUUGUUAAUCCCAAAUAACUAAGUCAAAAUAUUUAAACUUGAUUAUUAUUAUUAUUAUUAUUAUUAAACCCUCGAUCUUAUAUUCCUAUAUUCCUUUUUUCUAUCCUAU